GUGCUGUUGUAAAGUCACCAGAGUGGGAAUGGGGGGCUCCCAUGGAGCCUGCAUUCUAGGGAGGAAAGCUGACAACACAUCAACUAGAAACUAUCAGUAACAUUAUGCAGAGAACUGAGAUGGGGAGCUACGUUUGCAUGAGUAGUCAGGAAAAAGAUCUUUGUUUUUGAAGGGUGAUGUCUGAACAGAGACCCCAAUGUUGCAUGGAAGCAGGUCAUGUGAAGACCAGGGAGAACAGCGCCCCAGAGAUGGAGUUCUGCUCGUCGCCCAGGCUGGAGUGCAGGGGCGCAAUCUUGGCUCACCACAACCUCUACCUCCUGGUUCAAGCAAUUCUCCCGCCUCAGCCUCCCGAGUAGCUGGGAUUACAGCCACGCAAAACAUGCCUGCUUCCCCGUCACCUUCCGCUGUGAUUGUGAGUUUCCUGAGGCCUCCCCAGCCGUACUUCCUGGACAGCCUGCAGAACCACAACAAACCAAACAAUAGGGCAAGCUGUGGUUUGUAGUGUCUGCUGAUUCCUGUGGUGUGAAUACUCCCACCAUGGCCAAUAUCAAGCUGCCAACAUGGCGUCACUAUAUGCAGACUUGGGAAGAGAUGCCUGCUAGCACAUCAUGGUAUUGACUGAGAGCUCUCCCUGGGCUGGGCCGAUCAGGAGGAGGCUGAGCAGUGAAAACAGUGACCCCUGUCCUCAAGGAGCUAACGAGAAGAGCAAAUGGCUGGCAACGGUGCAAGACACAGAAUGAGCAACGGGCUGCACGAAUCGCGAUUUACGUGGCUUUGGGAAAAAACGCAUCUCACAAGUUGGGGCUGUCAUACAGCAUUGGCUUCUUUGUAAUCAAUGCGUUUCAGCAAUAUAUGGGGGUGAGUUUAGUUUCCAGUUGGCUUCCCUGAGGGUGUUGGAUAAAGUUGCAAUUUAGAUUCAAUCAAUA